UUUGACCUCAAAUCAGGUAGGACUACCCGCUGAACUUAAGCAUAUCAAUAAGCGGAGGAAAAGAAACUAACAAGGAUUCCCCUAGUAACUGCGAGUGAAGAGGGAAAAGCUCAAAUUUGAAAUCUGGCAGUCUCUGGCUGUCUGUUCUUGAUUCAUGAAUAACAUACCACAUAGGACUCACAGAGAGGAAGACGAAAUCACGCGAGUCGUGAAUUCGAGCGAGAUGGGGCAGCGAGAGCAAGAUGACGGGGAGCUAGUACCCCAGUGUAUUUUCCUCAAAGGCCUGGUGGCGGGAAGCUA
rnacentral:rRNA from 1 species